rnacentral:rRNA from 1 species
UACGUAGGGUGCGAGCGUUAAUCGGAAUUAUUGGGCGUAAAGGGCUCGUAGGCGGUUUGUCGCGUCGGGAGUGAAAACCAUGAGCUUAACUCAUGGCUUGCUUUCGAUACGGGCAGACUAGAGGCAUGCAGGGGAGAACGGAAUUCCUGGUGUAGCGGUGAAAUGCGCAGAUAUCAGGAGGAACACCGGUGGCGAAGGCGGGUCUCUGGGCAAUAACUGACGCUGAGGAGCGAAAGCGUGGGGAGCGAACAGG